UACGGGAGGCAGCAGUGAGGAAUAUUGGUCAAUGGGCGAGAGCCUGAACCAGCCAAGUCGCGUGAAGGAAGAAGGAUCUAUGGUUCGUAAACUUCUUUUGCAGGGGAAUAAAGUGCGGGACGUGUCCUGUUUUGUAUUAUCCUAGAAUAGAUAGUCGCCUCCCC
rnacentral:rRNA from 1 species